ensembl:lncRNA
AUGGGGAAAAUCCGUAACUUUGACUGUAAAUGCUACACGAGGAGAAAAGAGAACUCUCUGUAUGGGAGACAGUCCUGUAGCCAGAAGCUUUCUCCAGACAUUAUGUACAACAUACGGCUGGAUUCUUUAGCUGUGGAAAAAGAGUGGCAGGACAUGCAAAUUAUUGGACAUUUAGAGGCAAACAGACGCACAGUGCAAACUUCGGAGAUGGUAACAUCCACAAAGAAGACCCCGACAAAGAGAAAGUGUGCCCGAACGACUUAUUUCAUUGGAGGCAACGAGAUCUGCAAGAAUACUUUUCUGUUUCUUAUGGGGAGAGAUUGAUGGCUUUCUGCUGGCAGAUAGGGGUUACCCAUGCACACCAAAUCUUAUUACCCCUUACCCAGAACCUGAACCAGGCCCCCAGCAGCGCUUCAAUGUGGCACACUGCAGGACGAGAGCCUGGGUGGAGAUGACCAUAGGCCUGUUGAAAGCACAUUUCCAGUGCCUACGUCACCUCAGGGUAACCCCUGAAAGGGCCUGUGACAUUAUUGUGGCAUGUGUUGUUCUCCAUAACAUUGCCAUAAUUAGAGGGGAGCAACACCCUGCCCUACAAUUACAAGAUCCUGAGAAAGACCCCAUGAACCCUGCAGGAUGGAAGGGUAGUCCGGGAUAUGAUAUGCCGCAAUGUUUUCUCAGAUUAAUCAUGAUAUCCACCACAAAAAAACAAAAAAGAAAAUGAAUAAACAUGAAAACACAGCAAUUUAUAUGGUGUUCUUUAUUUCCUACUAAAAAAAAAAAGGUUAGAUUUUAAUAUAGUUUCAAUACUUACUAGAAUUCACCUGUGAACUUACACUCACCUCUAGCUUUUGUUUCAGAAUCUCGAUUUCCAGAUCUGCCUUUUGGAUCUGGCGGUCCAAGUAUACAAGUUCUUUGCUGUUUUUUUCUAUCUUUUUAAUAAGAAGAAGUCUAUAUAACUCCUUAACUGGCAACUGAAAAUACAGAUUCUAUUGGCUACUCCACAUAAAAAUGUGAAGAAAUGUGAAUGUGUAGAUUGUUUGAUGUGUAGACACAUAUUAAUAUUUCCUCUGUAGGCCUCUCUGUGGCAGCAGAAACGGUUUCUUCAUCCCCAUCAUCCUGUGAAGAUGAGCAUUUCAUAGAGUACACUUUAUAAUACUAUUUGUCAUAAUUUAUUGUGUAUUGAGUACAGUGGCGCAAAAAGUGGGUAUGCGCUAUAUGGGGGGCAAAGCGAUGGUUAAUUUUUUUUAAAAAUAAUAAUAGUUAUAUACAUUUAUAUAAAAGUUAUAUAUAAAAAAAGUUAUAUAAAUUUUAGAGGACUAACAGGCUAAGCGCCGGUGCCCUCAUAAGAUUCCAGACAUAGAAUUUAGACAUACAAGAGUAAUAUCGCGAGUGGGCGGGGUGCCGUGAGUGCUGAGUGAGCAGCAGUAACGUUAGUGAGUUGUCGUUGAAACCAUAGUGAAACUCGAAAAAGAUGGAUAAAGCAAAAAAGCUAUCGGGGGCUAAAAAUAGAAAAAGAAAGAGCGAAAAGGAGAUGGCAUGUCAGGGGAUGCAACAGCAGCUAAAUAAGUGGUCUCCAAAGUAGACAACGACCUCCUGAAGUAUGCAGAACAGCUUGUUUGCUUCCAGACAUUUGGGAUCUCUGCCACGGAUUCAAAUUCCUGAUGGAACUGUUCCUUUGUCUACCUCAAGAAAUAAUAAGUUGGUCCAAGUGUUUAAAUCAUGUUAAAUUUUCAAUGUUAAACACAAAUCAAAGUAAAUUUUGACAUACUUUUUUUAUUUUAAGUUUACAAUAGUUUUAGAUAGAUAGAUAGAUAGAUAGAUAGAUAGAUAGAUAGAUAGAUAGAUACAGUGCAGUGAAAAGGUUUUUGCUCCUUGCUGUUUUUUUUUUUUUUUGCGUAUUUGUCGCACUUAAAAAAUAUCAUUAGACAAAUAUUGAUAUUACACAAAGAUAAUGCAAGUAAAUACAAAAUGCAGUUUUUAAAUGAUAAUUUCAUGUAUUAAGGGAAAAAAGCUGUCCAAACCUACCAAACCACCUCCUGUUAAAUGUUGAAAGAACUGUGAUUAACCACAUUAUUUUAGAAAGCUGAGUUAAACUUCACUAGCCAAACCCAGGCCUGAUUAAUGCCAAACCUGCUGAAUCAAGAAAUAGAA